GAUGAACGCUGGCGGCGUGCCUAAUACAUGCAAGUCGAACGGAAAGGCCCUGCUUUUGCGGGGUGCUCGAGUGGCGAACGGGUGUGUAACACGUGUGUAAACUGCCCUUGUCUUUGGGAUAACUUUAGGAAAAUGGGGCUCAUAUCGGAUAGGAGCUCCUGCUGCAUGGUGGGGGAUGGAAAGUUUCGGCGGUUGGGGAUGGAAUCGAGGCUUAUCAGCUUGUUAGUGGGGUAGUGGCUUACCAAGGCUUUGACGGGUAGCCGGCCUGAGAGGGUGACCGGCCACAAUAGGACUAAGAGACGGACCAGUCUCCUACGGGAGGCAACGGUGGGAAGUAUUGCACAAUGAGCGGGAGCCUGUUACAACAACGCCGCGUGCGGGAUGACGGCCUACGAGUGAAGAACCGCUUUCUCCUGUGACGAAGCGUGAGUGACGGUAAUGGGUAAAAAAGCACCGGCUAACUACGUG
rnacentral:rRNA from 1 species